rnacentral:misc_RNA from 1 species
AACCUUUUCAAUAUUGUCCAUCAUAAUUCCCUUGACCUCUGUUAUCUGGGCCUUUAAUUUGGAUAGCUUGCUGAUCUCUUCUGGGUGGUUCAUACAAUAUUCCAUGUGUUCCUUGAGCCUUGGCCCAAACUCUCUGUCGAGAUUGUAGGCGAUGCUAAAUCGGUCUUCAAACAAGUCAUCAUCGUCGUCAUCAUCAUCUGCAAGCGGAUGCGCCUCAUUCUUAAUACUUGCACCAUAACGCUGUUUAAAAUCAUCCUUCACGCGCUCAAGAAAUACAAAGGGCAAACUUCUUCCUGAUGAUUCAUCCACAACAACAAGAAAAACAAAUCCAUUGUCAAUAAGGAAGUUAAAUGUAUGCCCAUCACAUGAGUAUGUGUACUUGCUGCUAUUUGAAGGAAGCUUCUGUAAACAUUGAACAGCAAUGGUACUAAAGUUCCCCGAGUAUGGCGUGUGCUCUGCUAAAACAACUGUACCCUUUGCCACAAAGCUAUAUAUAAAACCUUUCUGACUCAUCCCUAAAUUAUAUCAAGCCCAGGAUACAAAUGAAAUUGCCCUUUAAUGCUAUAUUAACCUGAAGUUUGCUGC